GCCCGGAAGGGGCUGGGGGCGGGGGCAGCCUCAGCUCUGCCAGGAUGUGGAGGUGGGGACCCAGAGGCAGAUCUCAUCCAAAGUGGAUUGAUUUUUCUCUCCUCAGAUACUUGCUGAAAUGAUUCUGGGUCCCAACUUCUGGGAACCACCCACCUCAGAUCGCCAUGGAGGACCUGAUCCCCGUUAUUGACAAGCUACAAGAGAUCUUCAACACUCUUGGCAGGGAGAUCAUCCAGCUCCCACAGAUCGUGAUCAUUGGAGCCCAGAGCAGUGGAAAGAGCUCCCUUUUAGAGAGCAUUGUGGGCCGGGACUUCCUUCCAAGGGGCUCCAGAAUGAUGACUCGGAGGCCUCUGAUCCUCCAGCUGGUGCACAUAGCCUCCCUGGAGGAACGGAAGCAAGCAGCAACACUGGAGUCAUGUGUCCAAGCAGAGGAAUGGGCCACGUUUUUGCAUUGCAAAUGUAAGCCAUUUAUAGACUUUAAUGAAAUCCGACAGGAAAUUUCCAACGAGAUGGAUCGAGUUGCUGGUACUAAUAAGGGGAUCAGCUCUGAGCCUCUGUACCUGAAGAUGUACUCCUCAAAAGUCCUCAAUUUGACUCUGAUUGACUUGCCUGGCAUUACCAAGGUCCCUGUGGGAGACCAGCCCCCUGACAUUGAGGCACAGGUCAAAAACAUGAUCCUGUCCUAUAUCAGUAACCCCAACUGUCUCAUCCUGGCCAUUACUGCUGCCAACACAGACAUAGCCUCUUCUGAAGUCUUGAAACUUGCUGGGGAUGUGGAUCCUGAUGGCUGCAGGACCUUGGCUGUGAUCACUAAGCUGGACCUAAUGGAGGUUAGGAUGGAUGCAAUCGAUAUGCUGAUGGGUCGAGUCAUCCCUGUGAAGCUGGGCAUCAUUGGAGUGGUGAAUAGAAGCCAAAAUGAUAUCGACGCACACAAGACCAUCAGUGAGACUGUACAGGAUGAGCAAAUCUUCCUGCAGAAGAAAUUCCCAUCCCUGGCCAACCGAAGUGGCACCCGCUUUCUUGCCAAGACACUCAACAGGCUUCUCAUGCACCACAUCCGAGGCUGCCUACCAGAGCUCAAGACACAUGUGAAUAUACUGACAGCCCAGUACCAGUCAGUGCUAGAGAGCUUUGGGCAGCCUGUUCAAGACCCAAAUGCCACUCUGCUUCAGAUCAUCACCAAAUUUGCCACUGAAUACUGCAACACCAUCGAAGGCACAGCAAAAAACAUUGAGACCUCAGAACUCUGCGGUGGUGCUCGGAUGUGCUACAUCUUCUAUGAGACCUUUGGCCAGACUCUGGAAUCCAUUGAUCCUCUAGCUGGACUGAGUACACGGGACAUCCUGACGGCCAUCCGAAAUGCCACGGGCCCUCGCCCAACACUCUUCAUUCCUGAGGGCUCCUUCGAGCUUCUGGUGAAGAGGCAGAUUAAGAGGCUGGAGGAGCCAAGCCUUCGUUGUGUGGAGCUGGUGCACGAGGAGCUUCAGAGGAUCAUCCAGCAGUGCUCCACUUACAGCACCCAGGAGCUGCUGCGCUUUCCCAAGCUACAUGAGGCCAUCAUAGAGGUCGUCACUGGUGUCCUGAGGAAGAGGCUCCCAAUAACGAAUGAGAUGGUUCACAACCUUGUAGCCAUUGAACUAGCCUACAUCAACACCAAGCACCCAGAUUUUGUCGAUAUGAUUCUUGUCUCAGCUUCCUUCAAUAGCAACAAGAAUGACACCUGCCAAGCAAAUGAUCCUAGGUGCUGGAAGAAUGAGAAGGGGAGAGAUGACACUGCUGCCGAGGAAAAGGAGAGUCCCAGAGCAUCUUUUCAGUUAGGUGCUUACCCUAGCACCAGCCAGACACAUGCCAUCAACCUGUUAGAUGUGCCCAUGCCAAUUGCCAGGAAACUGAGUCAAAGAGAGCAGCGUGACUGUGAGGUGAUCUGCAGACUGAUCCAGUCCUAUUUCCUUAUUGUACGGAAGAACAUCCAAGACAGUGUUCCCAAAACAGUCAUGCACUUCCUGGUGAACUAUGUCAAAGACCAUCUGCAGAGUGAGCUGGUGAGACAGCUGUACAAGACACAGCUACUGGAGGGGCUGCUCACUGAGUCAGAAGACAUGGCCCAGCAGCGAAAUGAGGCAGCUUCCAUGCUGGAGACCCUACGGAAGGCCAGCCAGACCAUCUCUGAAAUCCGAGAGAUUCAGCUGUGGCCCUGCCUGGCUGGUUUAUACUUUAGCCCAAUCUAAUUCAACAGACCUGCUUUCUGUGGACACCAAGAAGCCAUCUCCCAAGGCUUGUUCUGGGGCUGGGACUAGACAAUUAACACUGAUGUCAUGGAAGCAAGUAGGGAAGGCAAUGGACCAGAGCCGGGGAUCCUGAAGCAGAGAGAGAGCGCAGUCUAAGAGUCUUCUGAGAAGGACCGAUAGUGUUCACCCAAUAAAAACGUUCAAGCAGCAA